GACGUAGGGCGCGAGCGUUGUCCGGAUUUAUUGGGCGUAAAGAGCUCGUAGGCGGCUUGUCGCGUCGUCUGUGAAAUCCCGCGGCUCAACCGCGGGUCUGCAGUCGAUACGGGCAGGCUAGAGUUCGGUAGGGGAGACUGGAAUUCCUGGUGUAGCGGUGAAAUGCGCAGAUAUCAGGAGGAACACCGGUGGCGAAGGCAGAUCUCUGGGCCGUAACUGACGCUGAGGAGCGAAAGCAUGGGGAGCGAACAGG
rnacentral:rRNA from 1 species